rnacentral:lncRNA from 1 species
AGCGUGUAGAUACAGGUAUAGAUGCAGAAUCAAUUGUAUGUAAAGAUAAUGCACAAUUCCUAGAUGGACCAUAAACUAGUUCAAUAGGAUAUUUAUGAUGCAUAACAGGCAAUAAUUUUGGCAUAGAAAAGGAAUGUCGGCUAUAAACCGUGGAUUUAUUGUCAAAUUAAAAACAAAUCCUUCCAUAUAGAUUCUGAGUUACAUGGGAUAACUCAGA